rnacentral:rRNA from 1 species
CAGCAGCCGCGGGAAUACGGAGGGGGCUAGCGUUGUUCGGAUUUACUGGGCGUAAAGCGCACGUAGGCGGGCUUUUAAGUCAGGGGUGAAAUCCCGGGGCUCAACCCCGGAACUGCCUUUGAUACUGGAAGUCUUGAGUAUGGAAGAGGUGAGUGGAAUUCCGAGUGUAGAGGUGAAAUUCGUAGAUAUUCGGAGGAACACCAGUGGCGAAGGCGGCUCACUGGUCCAUUACUGACGCUGAGGUGCGAAAGCGUGGGGAGCAAACAGGAUUAGAUACCCGAGUAGUCCCUGUCUCUUAUAC